UACGUACGAGGCGAGCGUUAUCCGGAAUUACUGGGCGUAAAGCGCGCGCAGGCGGAUUGUUAAGUAGGACGUGAAAUCUCCUGGCCCAACUGGGAGGGGUCGCCCUAAACUGGCAGUCUUGAGGACGGCAGAGGUUGGUGGAAUUCCUGGUGUAGUGGUGAAAUGCGUAGAGAUCAGGAGGAACACCGGUGGCGAAGGCGGCCAACUGGGCCGUCUCUGACGCUGAGGCGCGAAAGCUCGGGGAG
rnacentral:rRNA from 1 species